CUUGGGUUUGUGCCUGGGCCCAGGCUCCUUGUCCCAGGGGGCUGUGUUGAGAGGGCUGUGGGUCUCUCUCCUCUCAGCUCCUCCCCACCCCUAGCCACCCUGGCCUGGGCUUUCUGCCUACCAGUGCAGGUCAUUGAGCCCAUCUUCUUGUGUGAUGGAGAUGACACCUCCUGGAGGACCCAGCAGCCUCAGAAGCCAUCAUCUCUCUGGGACUUUACUGUUCCCCAGACACCUGAACACCCAGCCCACUGGAUCCUUAACCUUCUGAGUGAAGCACUGUGGAGUUCCAC
rnacentral:lncRNA from 1 species